AAAGAAAGCGUAAUAGCUCACUGGUCGAGUCGGCCUGCGCGGAAGAUGUAACGGGGCUAAACCAUGCACCGAAGCUGCGGCAGCGACGCUUAUGCGUUGUUGGGUAGGGGAGCGUUCUGUAAGCCUGUGAAGGUGUACUGUGAGGUAUGCUGGAGGUAUCAGAAGUGCGAAUGCUGACAUAAGUAACGAUAAAGCGGGUGAAAAGCCCGCUCGCCGGA
rnacentral:rRNA from 1 species